rnacentral:tRNA from 1 species
GUUUCCGUAGCUCAGCUGGAUAGAGCGACCGCCUCCUAAGGGUCAGGUGGAGCAAUCCCCUUUUGGAAGCG